UGGGGAAUUUUGCACAAUGGGGGGAACCCUGAUGCAGCGACGCCGCGUGAUUUAGAAGGCCUUCGGGUUGUAAAAAUCUUUUCUAUGGGAAGAAAAUGACAGUACCAUAGGAAUAAGGACCGGCUAAUUACGUGCCAGCAGCCGCGGUAAUACGUAAGGUCCGAGCGUUGUCCGGAAUCAUUGGGCGUAAAGGGUACGUAGGCGGGUAAGCAAGUUAGAAGUGAAAUCCUAUAGCUCAACUAUAGUAAGCUUUUAAAACUGCUCAUCUUGAGGUAUGGAAGGGAAAGUGGAAUUCCUAGUGUAGCGGUGAAAUGCGCAGAUAUUAGGAGGAAUACCGGUGGCGAAGGCGACUUUCUGGCCAUAACCUGACGCUGAGGUACGAAAGCGUGGGUAGCAAACAGG
rnacentral:rRNA from 2 species